AACUUUCGGCAAUGGAUCACUUGGCUCUCGCAUCGAUGAAGAACGCAGCGAAAUGCGAUACGGAAUGUGAAUUGCAGAAUUCAGUGAAUCAUCGAAUCUUUGAACGCACCUUGCGCCCCUUGGUAUUCCGAGGGGCACACCCGUUUGAGUGUCGUGAAUACUCUCAACCUUCUUGGUUUCUUUGACCACGAAGGCUUGGACUUUGGAGGUUUUUCUUGCUGGCCUCUUUAGAAGCCAGCUCCUCCUAAAUGAAUGGGUGGGGUCCGCUUUGCUGAUCCUCGACGUGAUAAGCAUUUCUUCUACGUCUCAGUGUCAGCUCGGAACCCGCUUUCCAACCGUCUUUGGACAAAGACAAUGUUCGAGUUGCGACUCGACCUUACAAACCUUGACCUCAAAUCGGGUGAGACUACCCGCUGAACUUAAGCAUAUCAAUAAGCGGAGGCU
rnacentral:misc_RNA from 1 species